GCCCGGUUAGCUCAAUUGGCAGAGCGUAAGACUCUUAGCGAUUGCUAGCAAUCUUAAGGUUGCGAGUUCGACCCUCGCAUCGGGCU